UUCUUGAUAGCUCAGUUGGUUAGACCAUGGUGCUGAUAAUGCCAAAUCUGCAGGUUUGAUCCCUGUAUGGGACA